UUCAGUGAUGAAAUAGCUGCAUAGGAAGUGCCGUCUGAUGCGAUAACUGACGCUGGCUAAAGCUGCUCUGAGA
rnacentral:snoRNA from 1 species